GGCGGUGUGGCCGAAAUGGUAUAGGCGUUUAGGUUGUAGUUUAUCGUAUAUAUUGCGGGUUCGAAUCCCGCCACCGCCA
rnacentral:tRNA from 1 species